rnacentral:lncRNA from 1 species
UCAAUGUGAGCUGUUUGACCGCAAUGCUUAGCAUGAGUGAUCUAGCUUAAAGUUCAUCAGAUUUUGGAGAGGCGAAGACGGAACCUUUCUCCCCUUAAACGCACCUCUAAAUCUUGAAAUGCUGAUCGACAAAUUUCUAGUAUCUGUUUUUGCUUGUGAAUCUAAUGCUCACUCUUUGAAGCUUGCACUUCUCCUCACACACACACACACAUAUAUAUGGUCUAGCUUUUCUUUUCGUUGCUGGCCAAGAUCAGCACAAAAGAGAAGAAAUCUUCAGGUAUGGCUGUACUCUUCAGUAUUUUGUUUCUUUAUUCCUUCACUACGAUCUGCUCAUAUCUAUCUGUAGGCAGCAGGGGGAAAACCACUGCUUGGAUGUUGGACAUUAGUUUUGGGACUGGGUUGCUCCAAGCAUCACUCUAUACUAUGGCGCUCGAUUGAGGUUUGGCCAUGGCACUAGAUGCAGAGCUCUAGACUAUGGCGAGGAAGAGACGGACAUUUUUCCAUUCCAUCUCAGUUAGAAACCACAUGCCUAAUCAUCUAGAAUAGAAUUGGAACAACUCCUGGUCAUUUCAGAAAUAGAGGCAACGAGAGUCAAUAGCUAUCUCAAUCGAUUUCACCAGAGUAGCCAGACCUGGAGACCAUCCCAGUUAAGGAGAUAAUGCUACACUGAGACCGUUGGCCCCAAGGAUAGAAUUGAGUUUUGUCACCCAUAUCACAAAUUAAGUUUCAGUGCGCCUGAAAGGUUUUGGAUUCAGGCAGAGUUUCGAGAUCAAGGAUCUGAGCUUGCAUCACCAUGCUUACAUCGGAAUUUAAAUAGAAUCAAAACACCGUGUACCUGAGAGUUCAAGGGUCGGGAUGAGAAACGUCUGGACUGCCCUCCACGACCUCAGAUGUCAGACUCCAGUUGCUUUAGAACGCACUGAAUUUACGUGAAGAGCUGCAUCAAACUUAAACGUUGGUUAAGUAUUACCUGAAAGCUAUUUGAACACGUAUUAAAUUAAAGAAGAGCAGGCGAAGUAGGUACUGACUGCUUGACUAGUG